GAUGAACGCUAGCUACAGGCUUAACACAUGCAAGUCGAGGGGCAGCACUUCGGGUGGCGACCGGCGCACGGGUGAGUAACGCGUAUCCAACCUGCCGCUUACUUCGGGAUAGUCUUUCGAAAGAAAGGUUAAUACCGGAUGUUGCCAUGAAGAGUCCUCUCUUUAUGGCCAAAGAUUUAUCGGUAAGCGAUGGGGAUGCGUCUGAUUAGGUAGUAGGCGGGGUAACGGCCCACCUAGCCGACGAUCAGUAGGGGUUCUGAGAGGAAGGUCCCCCACAUUGGAACUGAGACACGGUCCAAACUCCUACGGGAGGCAGCAGUGAGGAAUAUUGGUCAAUGGGCGAGAGCCUGAACCAGCCAAGUAGCGUGCAGGAAGAAUGUCCUAUGGAUUGUAAACUGCUUUUAUACGGGAAUAAAAGUCUCCACGUGUGGAGUUUUGCAUGUACCGUAUGAAUAAGGAUCGGCUAACUCCGUG
rnacentral:rRNA from 1 species